GAGAGAUCGGUUAUCUUAAAACAGCUUAGCGCUGAUGGCACCCUUGGUGCUCAUGCAACGGAACCCAGUGGAGAGAGGCAGAAGAGUAAAAAGGAGGUCUAUGAUGAGAUAAUUUACAAAAGCAAGUUUUUCAAGGCUGAGAAAGCUAAGGACAAGGAAGAAAAUGACCAGCUGAUAAAAAAAUUGGACGAGCAAUUUACAUCUUUGCAGAGCGUUAAGAAUGUUUAUCCUAAAAAAAGUCGAUCCUGAUCAGGAAAAAGCUGAUGCUUAUGAUAAACUACUCAAUGAAAUGGUGUUGGAUAUGCGUACUCGCCCGUCAAACAGGACAAAAACGCCUGAAGAACUUGCACAAGACGAAAAAGAGCGACUAGAAGAAUUGGAGGUAUGUUAAUUAUAAUAUAUCUUAUA